rnacentral:rRNA from 1 species
AUGUUCUUUGAUGGAUCCAAAAUGCUGAAUGGUUUUGGUGCUGGGGUAGUACUGGUAUCCCCACGAGGAGACAAGCUCAGAUAUGUCCUCCAGAUUCACUUUGAUUCCUCCAACAAUGAAGUAGAAUAUGAAGCACUUCUAUAUGGGUUGCGCAUGGCCAUCUCACUCGGCGUCCGUCGCCUCAUGGUCUACGGCGACUCAGAUUUGGUAGUCAAUCAAGUGAUGAGGGAGUGGGACGUCAGAAGCCCAGCCAUGACUGGUUACUGCAACGCAAUGAGGAAGCUGGAAAAGAAAUUUGAGGGGUUAGAGCUCCAUCACAUACCCCGACUGAAAAAUCAAGCAGCCGAUGACUUGGCAAAGAUAGGUUCCAAGAGAGAAGCCAUUCCCAACAAUGUGUGUUUGGAGCAUAUUCACACGCCGACAGUUCAGGAAGAUCCUUUUACUGAAGAGCCCCCGCAACCUAAGAGCGCCACAGACCUGACUGAAGUUGAGGUCCCAGCCAUGGUCGACCUGAUCAUGGAGGUUCUGGCCAUUACUCCCGACUGGAUAGUGCCGUACGUUGCGUACAUCCUUAGGAAAGAACUCCCAGAGGACGAGGAAGAGGCUCGAUAG